CCUACGGGUGGCAGCAGUGGGGAAUAUUGGACAAUGGGGGCAACCCUGAUCCAGCCAUGCCGCGUGUGUGAAGAAGGCCCUCGGGUUGUAAAGCACUUUCAGUGAGGAAGAACGCCUGGUGGUUAAUACCCAUCAGGAAAGACAUCACUCACAGAAGAAGCAACGGCUAACUCCGUGCCAGCAGCCGCGGUAAUACGGAGGGUGCGAGCGUUAAUCGGAAUUACUGGGCGUAAAGCGCGCGUAGGUGGCUUGAUAAGCCGGUUGUGAAAGCCCCGGGCUCAACCUGGGAACGGCAUCCGGAACUGUCAAGCUAGAGUGCAGGAGAGGAAGGUAGAAUUCCCGGUGUAGCGGUGAAAUGCGUAGAGAUCGGGAGGAAUACCAGUGGCGAAGGCGGCCUUCUGGACUGACACUGACACUGAGGUGCGAAAGCGUGGGUAGCAAACAGGAUUAGAUACCCUUGUAGUC
rnacentral:rRNA from 1 species